rfam:Chryseobacterium taiwanense strain TPW19 Contig_2, whole genome shotgun sequence.
UCCUAGCCCCGAUUGUAGAGAAAAUCCUUUUUGAAAAAAAGAUUGUAACGGAAAGCGGGAAAAAGC